rnacentral:rRNA from 1 species
CAGGCCUAACACAUGCAAGUCGAACGAGAAAUUUCCUGCUUGCAGGGAAGAGUAAAGUGGCGCACGGGUGAGUAACGCGUGAGUAAUCUGCCCUUAAAUCUGGGAUAACUUCGCGAAAGCGAUGCUAAUACCGGAUAUAGUCUAUAAAACCCAGGUUUUUUAGAUGAAAGAUGACCUCUUCAUGAAAGUUGUCGUUUAAUGAGGGGCUCGCGUACCAUUAGCUUGUUGGUGGGGUAAUGGCCUACCAAGGCUACGAUGGUUAGCUGGUCUGAGAGGAUGACCAGCCACACUGGAACUGAAACACGGUCCAGACUCCUACGGGAGGCAGCAGUGAGGAAUUUUGCGCAAUGGGGGGAACCCUGACGCAGCAACGCCGCGUGAGUGAAGAAGGCCUUCGGGUCGUAAAGCUCUGUCAAGUGGAAAAAACGACUUAUGGUUAAUAGCCAUAAGUCCUGAUGGUACCACUAGAGGAAGCACCGGCUAACUCCGUGCCAGCAGCCGCGGUAAUACGGAGGGUGCAAGCGUUGUUCGGAAUUACUGGGCGUAAAGAGCGUGUAGGCGGUAUGGUAAGUCAGAUGUGAAAGCCCUGGGCUUA